UACGUAGGGGGCAAGCGUUGUCCGGAAUCAUUGGGCGUAAAGAGCGUGUAGGCGGCUCGAUAAGUCUGCUGUGAAAGUCCAGGGCUCAACCCUGGAAGGCCGGUGGAAACUGUCGGGCUAGAGUCCGGAAGAGGCGAGUGGAAUUCCCGGUGUAGCGGUGAAAUGCGCAGAUAUCGGGAGGAACACCAAUGGCGAAGGCAGCUCGCUGGGACGGUACUGACGCUGAGACGGCGAAAGCCAGGGGAGCGAACGGG
rnacentral:rRNA from 1 species